rnacentral:tRNA from 1 species
GCCUGGGUGGCUCAGUGGUUGAGCGUCUGCCUUUGGCUCAGGAUGUGAUCCCGGAGUUCCGGGAUUGAGUCCCACCUCGGGCU